AUUGAACGCUGGCGGCAUGCCUUACACAUGCAAGUCGAACGGCAGCGGGGGAGAAGCUUGCUUUUCCUGCCGGCGAGUGGCGAACGGGUGAGUAAUACAUCGGAACGUGCCCUGUAGUGGGGGAUAACUAGUCGAAAGAUUAGCUAAUACCGCAUACGACCUGAGGGUGAAAGUGGGGGACCGCAAGGCCUCAUGCUAUAGGAGCGGCCGAUGUCUGAUUAGCUAGUUGGUGGGGUAAAGGCUUACCAAGGCGACGAUCAGUAGCUGGUCUGAGAAGACGAUCAGCCAACCUGGGACUGGGACACGGCCCAGACUCCUACGGGGGGCAGCAGUGGGGAAUUUUGGACAAUGGGCGAAAGCCUGAUCCAGCAAUGCCGCGUGUGUGAAGAAGGCCUUCGGGUUGUAAAGCACUUUUGUCCGGAAAGAAAUGGCUCUGGUUAAUACCUGGGGUCGAUGACGGUACCGGAAGAAUAAGGACCGGCUAACUACGUGCCAGCCGCCGCCGUAA
rnacentral:rRNA from 1 species